CCUACGGGAGGCAGCAGUGGGGAAUAUUGGGCAAUGGGCGCAAGCCGGACCCAGCAACGCCGCGUGAAGGAAGAAGGCUUUCAGGUUGUAAACUUCUUUUCUGAGGGGCGAAGAAAGUGACGGUACCUAAGGAAUAAGCCAAGGCUAACUACGAGCCAGCAGCCGCGGUAAUACGGAGGGGGCAAGGGUUAUCCGGAUUUAUUGGGUGUAAAGGGCGUGUAGGCGGUAAAGCAAGUCAGAUGGGAAAGCUCGGGUCUCAACCCUGAGCCUGCCUUUGAAAAUGUUUUGCUUGAGUGCUGGAGAGGCAAUCGGAAUUCCGUGUGUAGCGGUGAAAUGCGUAGAUAUACGGAGGAACACCAGUGGCGAAGGCGGAUUGCUGGACAGUAACUGACGCUGAGGCGCGAAAGCGUGGGGAGCAAACAGGAUUAGAUACCCCUGUAGUC
rnacentral:rRNA from 1 species